AUACAUAAAACAUUUAUUAGAAAAACAAGUUCUCUUUCUCAGAAGAACGUCUCAGCUGAAGACUUGAACAACUGAGGAACUGAAGUCGAAGAACAAUUAGGUCUUGCAGCUAGAAGGCGAUUUUAGCAAAGAAUAAAGGAUGUCACAUUAUUUAUCUAUGAAAUAACUAUGAGCACAAAUGGAUGGAGUGAUGCAGGGCAUGCUGUAAAUCAAGUGUAUGAUAUACUUUACGUGAUGGGCAUGACAAUAAUUUUGUCGUUGUGGAAGGUCAAGGUGGAAUACUUCCUAAUGUUACCAUUCUGCGUGAUGUUGGUGGAUAUCUCCCUAUAAUUUAUCAGGUGAUGAAAAUCUCCAUUUACUCGACUUUUGGCACUAUUCUACAAGUCAAGAAUCAUUUGCUUUCAUGCCAUAUUGUUGGUUGGUUAAACAUCUCCAUAAUUUUUGUGUACUUGAAAUCUUGAGUAUGCUUACUUUUCACUGAUUUGUUAGGGAAAUGCUACAUGUGGUUAUUGUAAAUAUAGAGAAGAUAUUCCUCUAGGUCCCAGAGGACAUUUGGAUAUCGACUCUAAUUUUGGAUUCAGAAAGAGCUUCUUCCCACAGGAGAUCAUCUUACGACCUAUGGCUAUGGUGCCCCAGAAUUUUGUGGAUAGUAUAUAAAGAGGAUUGGGCAUUGGGAUUGUUGCAUACAACCCCCUAGGCCAAGGGUUUUUUUGUUGGAAGGGAAUCACAGAAAGCCUCCCUGUAGAAAGUCUGGUUCUUUAUAAUUUUUUCCAUUUCAUGCACGGUCGUGGUGCUUUAAUGGAUUUUCCAUGUGUAGAUCUUCGACCACACUAAUGGACCCUUUCAAGUUGUAUGACCCAGUAGUAGGUGAGCAUUUCAACAUUUUUGCGGCUAGUCUAAAGGGUAUUAUGAAUUGGAUUGAUACAAAAGAGAGUGGAACACUGAGUUGGACAUUCACUUAUUGUGUCAGAUGGUUACCUGAACCGCUCCUUGUACACACUGCAGACUGGCAAGCCUCAAUAUAAAGCAGCAUUGCAGAAGGAACUUGAUUUACCAGUUCGUGAUGAUGUCCAAUUGAUCAGUUUCAUUAGGAGGCUUGACCCACAAAAGGGUCUUGAUCUGAUUGUUGAGGCAGUGCCUUGGAUGAUUGUCCGUAGUGAAACGAGUAGGUGAAUGUCAAAAGAAAAAAGAUUUAUAAUUAUUGUGCCUUUCUUCACUAUUGUAGUAUUGUUGCCUUCUUAAUGGUUGAGGGUGGGUGGUGGAUUUGUUAGUUUCUAAAACAUUGAUUUUGCCUGUUAACUUUUCUGUUAUCAUCAUUUGAAAACUAUUGAGCUAUGUCCACGUGUAUAUGUUUAAUCACUUUCUAAUUAUUGUUUGUAUAAGAUUAUGUGA